CCUACGGGAGGCAGCAGUGGGGAAUUUUGGACAAUGGGCGCAAGCCUGAUCCAGCCAUGCCGCGUGUGGGAAGAAGGCCUUCGGGUUGUAAACCACUUUUGUCAGGGAAGAAACGGUCUGAACUAAUACUUUGGACUAAUGACGGUACCUGAAGAAUAAGCACCGGCUAACUACGUGCCAGCAGCCGCGGUAAUACGUAGGGUGCAAGCGUUAAUCGGAAUUACUGGGCGUAAAGCGUGCGCAGGCGGCUUUGCAAGACAGAUGUGAAAUCCCCGGGCUCAACCUGGGAACUGCAUUUGUGACUGCAUGGCUAGAGUACGGUAGAGGGGGAUGGAAUUCCGCGUGUAGCAGUGAAAUGCGUAGAUAUGCGGAGGAACACCGAUGGCGAAGGCAAUCCCCUGGACCUGUACUGACGCUCAUGCACGAAAGCGUGGGGAGCAAACAGGAUUAGAUACCCUGGUAGUCCACGCCCUAAACGAUGUCAACUGGUUGUUGGGAGGGUUUCUUCUCAGUAACGAAGCUAACGCGUGAAGUUGACCGCCUGGGGNGGACGGCGCGAGUAGACGUACGAAGAAGUAGACGCGUGAGAGNGCGAGACGACGACGAGGGAGGAGG
rnacentral:rRNA from 1 species